AGAGUUUGAUUCUGGCUCAGGACAACGCUGGCGGCGUGCCUAACACAUGCAAGUCGAACGGGUGCUGUUAGCCUCGCAAGGGUGAAGAACGCGUGGGAUUCUUCGCGAUUGUGGGGGAUGACCCCGCGAAAGGGGGGUCAAUAUCCUAUUCCUACGGGGUAAAUAUGGCUCUGUAGGCUAGAGGGUUCGGAAGAGCCCGAGCCCUAUUGCCUAGUUAGUCAGGUAAAGGCAUACCAUAGGCACAAUGGGUACCCAGUCUGAGAGCCAGAGCGCAUGCGCCAGAGCUGAGACACGGGCCAUACUGUUACGGAAUGCAACCCUGGGACAUACUGCACAAUGGCGUGAGGAAUGAUCAACCGAGGACCCUAGUGCUAGACUCAUUGUCCCCGUACCUAUGGGAUCCUACGAAUUAAGUGUGAGAAACUAUUGCCAGGAGGAUCGGUAAGACUACUGCCCCAAGCGUUAUCCGGAUUUAUUGGGCGUAAAGGGUCUGUAGGUGGUUUGUUAAGUUUCUCGUUAAACUGCAGGGCUUAACCUUGGAAAAGCGCGAAAAACUGGCAAACUAGAGGAUGUUAGAGGCUGAUGGAACACUUGGUGAAGGGGUGGAAUCCGUUGAUAUCAAGUGGAACACCGAAAGCGAAAGCAAUCAGCUGGGACGUCCUGACAGUGAAAGACGAAAGCGUGGGGAGAGAAAAGGAUUAGAUACCCUUGUAUUCCACGCCUUAAACGAUGAAUACUAGCUAUUGCAAGUCGACUUGCAGUGGAGAAGCUAACGCGUUAAGUAUUCCGCCUGGGAAGUACGGCCGCAAGGCUAAAACUCAAAGGAAUAGACGGGGACGUACACAAGCGGUGGAUCACGUGGCUUAAUUCGAUAAUAAGCGAGGCACGUUACCAGGGCAAAGGUAAUGAAAACAUCCUAAGAUUUUCCACAAAAAUUCCAACUCCUGCAUGUUGUUCUUAGCAAGGAGCCUGAUUUCCCCCCCUAAAGGGGGAACGGGGCGAACCCUCCCACUCGUUUUGGGCUUUUAAAAAAGGCCGGGCCAACCCAAAAAGGGGUGAAAAGCCCCCAUCAAGCCCCUUAUCGCCCACCCCCAACUGGGUUGUGCCGGAACCCACAAUCAAUC
rnacentral:rRNA from 1 species